GGAGUAAUGGAAGAAGGGAAUGAAGAGCAGGGGUCAAACUCUGUCAGGUGCAGCUUCUCCCUUCACCACAGCGCUGUGGUGAGGAAAGCCUCUCCUGCUGAAAUGGCCCAUGAGAGAGUAGAGAGAAAGUUGUCAAGGUCUGGGCCUCCUUUCCUCCCUCAGAAGCUUCUAGUCCCCUGCUUCACCUCAUGGAGCAUCAACUUCCUGCCUAGGCCUUCCUUUAUGCCUUUAUGCCCUGAAACCUUUCCCAGACUGCAGGUAUAAUGGUGAGAAAGGCCGCACCUGUUUGAAUUCUGACCUUCAAGGGGCUGUGAAAGGAGAAAAAGGAGGGAAAGCAAGAAUGCAGAAAAAGAGAGGAGGGAGAACUUGGGGGAGGGUCGUAGCUCAGCGACAGAGCAUCUGUUUUGCAUGUGGAAGGUUCCGGGUUCAAGUUCCAGCAUCUCCGAGUAAGACUGGGAAUUCCCUGUCAGAAAUUCUGGAGCUGCCAGUCAGAGUAGGCAAUGCUGACCUAGAAGGGCCAAUGGUUAGACUCAGCGUCAGCCAACUUCCUCUGUGCAGCUCCCUGUCACUGGUGACGCGAAUGGGUGGGGAGGCAGGCAGUUGUGCGCUGCAGCCCAGCAGACUGUUAAUUUUAUUUAUUUAUUUGAGAAAAUUUAUAUUAUGCUUACUUGAAAGUAGAGACAUCGUAAGCAGUUUACAAAGGACAAGGUCAAAUGUUUGUUUAAAAUAAAAUACUGAUAAAAGCGAAUGUUAAAAAUAAGUUAAAUAUAUAUAAAAUCAGCCAUUUUAAAAGCAAUUGUAUCUAAUACAAUUUAAGUAUGUUAAAAUCACAUGCCCAGGUAGGCCUACUGAAAGAAAAAAUUUUUUAACUGAGCACCAGAAACAAUACAGCAAAAGCUUCUGUCUAAUAAUCUCUACAGGGUGGUUCUUGGUUUUGGAUUCCACAGCAAGAUAGGGCAAACAUGCUGGUUAUUUCUAUACUUAAAUUUGCAUAUAUAUAUUUGAAGCCCAUUUGUUUGUAUUUAUUUGUUAUUUUACAGGUAAGGUCGGUUGCUGAAAAGGAAGAGUGGGGCAAUGGAGGAGCUUCCUUCUCCCAAAGGAGGUCACUAAAUCCUAUACCCAGAGAUAGCUAGAGGAACUGUAAC